GCAAUUGUGGCCUGAUCAAAAGCCCACUGAAGUCCAUGUGAGUAUUCCCAUUGACCUCAAUGAGCUUUUGAUCAGGCAUUAAGAGU
rnacentral:pre_miRNA from 1 species